rnacentral:lncRNA from 1 species
CUAGAAUUAUGAUUUCCGGCUAGGACAUAUUUCCAUAGUAGGGGAGGCUCCCAAGUUGUCCUAUCAUUAAUCAAGUUUUCACUUUCCGCUUUCUGUAAGAUUUCUAGCAAUUUCACAAUGACCGGGAUCGAACCCUUCCUCAGACUCUUUAUCUGCUUAUUCCUUUCCAAUUAACAUUAAUAUCCUUAUUAUAGGCCUCAACAGCCAAUGCUGUGUUUAGUUUCCCUAAUCAUGUCUCACUUAUGUUCUGCUAUCCUUCUACCAAUAGUCCUAGAGGUAACUCCUAUAUACGCCUUUUCUGUGUUCUCAUUAUUCUCAACCAUUGGUAUUCUGUAUACAUUCCUCUUCUCAUCUUGUCUGAGCGGAUCCUUCUCAUUAUGCAGGACUUCAAAUACUGUUGGAUUCCUUUGAAAUGCCACUUUUUUGCCACUUUUCUCUACUAUUCUAUGUACAACAUUGAGGUUCUUAUACCCUGGUCACACUACAGCCUUUAACUGCUAUUAGUCUAUUAACU